rnacentral:rRNA from 1 species
AGAACGAACGCUGGCGGCAUGCCUAACACAUGCAAGUCGAGCGCCCCGCAAGGGGAGCGGCAGACGGGAGAGUAACACGUGGGAACGUACCCUUCAGUUCGGAACAACCCAGGGAAACUUGGGCUAAUACCGAAUACGUCCGUAAGGAGAAAGAUUUAUUGCCGAAGGAACGGCCCGCGUCCGAUUAGCUAGUUGGUGAGGUAACGGCUCACCAAGGCGACGAUCGGUAGCUGGUCUGAGAGGAUGACCAGCCUCACUGGGACUGAGACACGGCCCAGACUCCUACGGGAGGCAGCAGUGGGGAAUAUUGGACAAUGGGCGCAAGCCUGAUCCAGCCAUGCCGCGUGGAUGAUGAAGGCCUUAGGGUUGUAAAGUCCUUUUAACGGGGAAGAUAAUGACGGUACCCGUAGAAUAAGCCCGGCUAACUUCGCGCCAGCAGCCGC